UACAGAGGUCUCAAGCGUUGUUCGGAUUCAUUGGGCGUAAAGGGUGCGUAGGUGGCGGGGUAAGUCAGGUGUGAAAUCUCGGGGCUCAACCCCGAAACUGCACUUGAUACUGCCUUGCUUGAGUACUGGAGAGGAGAUUGGAAUUUACGGUGUAGCAGUGAAAUGCGUAGAUAUCGUAAGGAAGGCCAGUGGCGAAGGCGAAUCUCUGGACAGUUACUGACACUGAGGCACGAAGGCCAGGGGAGCAAACGGG
rnacentral:rRNA from 1 species